CAUAAUCAUCAGCUACUCGGCCCCGUGCAAGGCCCACCUGGUCUGCUGGCCCGGUGAUCAUCAGCUUUACGCUGACGGUGUCUGUGGUUUGCUUGCCGCGGAGGAACAAGAGAGCGACAAGAUUAAUUCAAGAAUUUUCAUCCAUCUGGCCAAAAAAAAGGGUUCUCAUUUGCAGCUUUAAACCCAGAUUUGUCUCAAGCUCGCUGCAGUCUAUAAAUGCCAUCAGUGGUAACAGACUUCUGAGGCAAACUCUGGGUAACCUUGUACUUUUACUAAUGUCAAGUCCUCAGCAGGUGCCAUGAGAGUUUGACAUUGACUAUAGAGGGGCAAUGAGAACAGAGAGGCC